UGGAUAUCUGUAAAUGAUAAACAAGAUGGCAAACAAAUAAAAAAAAAGUCCAGAAUGUGAGGCUUUCAGGUGAAAUGGUCUUUAACCAUGUUUCUGGCUACAGCCUUCAUCAAAAGAAUUUCUAUCAGCAGGGGGAGCAGAGCUUAACAUUAAGACGAAGAUGAGGAAAUUGAGGGCAGGUAAUUUGCCCAAGGUACCAAGCAAGUACACGCUGGACCACUAUUUUGAACCAGGGCCGUCCAGGUCCCCGUGUCACCAAGAUUCAGAGGAAAACUGGCCCACUUUGAGCUGCCACACACAGAAACUUCCCUGAAGAUAUGGCUCUUGCUCUAUGGAAAAUGCGUCAGGCUGACUCAGUUUCUCUAGCGCAAGUGAAAACGAGCUGGUUAGAACAGACCGGUUUGAAGCGAGUGCACAAUUCUUCACCUUCAGGUGAGCUAGCAGCUGAAUUUCCCCGCCAGCUGGGCCUUAAAGGGCAAACAAGGCUCAGGGCAGAAGGCAUCACGAAGCGAUCUUGGACAACGUGCGUUCUUCAUUACAUCUGCAAAAUGCCACUAGCACCUUUGACCAAACAUUAAUACCGCACGGCUUUGACAUCUUGUGAUAUAGCUGGAGUUUGAGGAAUGGGGCUAAGGGUUGAUUGGGGUCCCCAAAAAUAAAUCUUUUCUACUGCCAUGAAGCAGUUACAGUUGCA